rnacentral:lncRNA from 1 species
CGCUAAUUCCGGACACAUUCUCAUUCUCUAGACAUUCAGAGCGGCUGCAUGAUGAGAGUCCGGAUGGUCCGUGUGGUAGAACGUGGAUGCUUUUAGCCGUACUUCAGUGACAUGAGUCUCUUAAUCAUUUGAAAAUUAAAGCCUCAUCAACCAGCCCUGCAGAAUUAAGAAUAUGAAGCAUCCCAUGCUGCACUGCAUAUUCAAGGGAAAUGCAGACGAAGGAGGGAGAGACAAUGGCUGGCUACUGGCAGUACUAUGCCCACUGAAGUGACACGUCUUUCUGCCUUCAGUGUCUAGUGCCUUUCUCUGGAGUUGCAACUGGGACUCUCCUUCUUCUAUAACAGAAUUUGCAAGUGUAAGGUGGCCAACAGGGUGAAUAUGGAACAGCCGGAGGGCAAAUGAGACUGUGAAGCAAACACAUAUUCUGUCCUUUGGCAGAGCAUCGGAAAUAACCAUUUCCAGUGAUGUAAAACAAGGUGGCAGAGGAAGGAUAACGG